UAUCGCAACUGACCGUGUUCUUCACGUACAGAGCACAGCAGCGUGCUCUGCCGAUUCUCAAUGCGUCGGGCACAUUUCAUUGAGCCUGCUGAAAUAUAUUUGGAUAAAACUUUACCAUAAUAUGCGACAGUUGGAGCGGCGAAACCAAGCGGAUACAUGACACGAAGAAAACGGGGGACAACAAAUUCUGACUAUGUUUAGGCUAGCAGAGAACGCUUAGCUGCCUCUGAUGGACGGCCGCCACUGCGGGCAGUAAUGGAAGAGCUCCUGGCCGUUGUUCGACGCCUGCGUCUCCCUUGCGUUCUCACGCACGUCCGUGCACGUGCGUCAAAACCAUGCAGCAAUGGAGCGCCAUUUGCCGUGGGCCAUUUGGAAGCUCUGGAGACGUUUUAAACGUUGGAGACGCCGACGGAGACAGCGGUGGCAGCCGGUGGCGGAAGUUGCUGUGCUUGGUCGUCCACCUAGACCUCCACCUAGACGUCGGCGGCCUCGCUUUGACCCACCUACUUCCCACGUUGAGGAAGUUGUCCCCCCCACCUCUGACAUUCAGGCUCUCCUGUUCCUUCUGGCUCUUUUGCUCCUUCUCUUUCUCCUCCAGGCUCUCCUGUUCCUUCUGGCUCUUUUGCACUUUCUCUUUCUCCUCCAGGCUCUCCUGUUCCUUCUGGCUCUUUUGCUCCUUCUCUUUCUCCUCCAGGCUCUCCCCUUCCUUCUGGCUCUUUUGCUCCUUCUCUUUCUCCUCCAGGCUCUCCCCUUCCUCCUUCUUCUUCUUCUUUCCUUCCACACCCCCUCCUCCUUAUUCUCUUGUUCCUUCUUGCACUCCUGCUCCUUCGCUUUCUCCUCCAGGCUCUCCUGUUUCUUCUUCUUUUCCACCUUCACCUCCUCCUCCUUCCCCUCUGGUUCCACCUAUUGUGGCUCUUUCUGAGCUGCCCUGUGUUCCGGAUGCUGGCCUGUCCCUGUCUCCUGUUAUUCAGGACUCAGGCUCUGUAGUGCACGGGACCAGCGAGGACGGGACCAGCGAGGACGGGACCAGCGAGGACGGGACCAGCGAGGACGGGACCAGCGAGGACGGGACCAGCGAGGACGGGACCAGCGAGGACGUACCGGAUGGGGGGGACGAGGAGGCUCCAAGCAGCAGCACGUCACUAAGGAGAGCGAUAGGUCAGUUCAGUCACAGUGGCACCAGUGGCACCAGGGACACAUGUCAUCUCCCACGGAAGCUCCUCAGUGGCAGAGCAGGAUGGACUGCAGUGCCACGUGUUAUGGAGCGGACACAUGGCUGUGUGCUGUUCUAGUCAUGCUCCACACCACAGGGAGCAGUGCCACUGAUACUGAUGUACUGACCAGUGUGUCUGUCAGUCCAGUGGACAAAGUUUUCUAAGGAGAAGGGGAUGAGGGCACCAGGAGAUGAGGAGAAGGAGAUUAAGUUAAAACAAAAAGCGCACGCUGCAGAAGGUGACACCAUGGAAACGAGACAAGGAUCUGGACCAAGCUGGCCUAAGCUGUCAGAACGAUCGCAGGAACCACAGGUGCAGCUGUGGAGGCUGGAGAACUGUGGCAACUGAGACGACGAUAGGACCGCAUAGGGCGAUAGGAGACGUUAUCGCCCGUGUCUGUGGAGGCUCAAUGCUCUUCCUGCAGCUCUUUGCUCCCUCCAGCCUCCGGUCCAGACAGAGGGGAGCCUCCCAGUCCUAAGCACGUAGAGGAAGUGCCUUUGUCACUGCUUUCUCUGUGCUGCUGGGUUUGGGAGACUCUUCACAUAAUCAGCGGUGUUGGCCUCCAUCUCUAAAAAGAAGACGGUCAAGACGAGUCAUUGUCAUCAAUAAUUUGAAAGAAAUUGUAAUAAAUACGUUCCAUGUAAAACAUCA